UUACCAUAUGGAGAUAGUCUGUUUCCAGAACUAUUUGCUCGCUCCUCCAGUCAGCGAAGAAUUGAAGCGCAUGCAGCAACGCUUGUAGCUCUGUGUGCAACGGCGAAGUCGCCGGGACUGUUCUAGCGAAGCCGUCUAGCAAGGUUCCAGUCGCGUCUCUGAGGAUUGCCGCUACUGCUCCUUCUGUUGCAUGUUCAAGAAAAGCCCCAUCGAUGUUGAUUUUGAAGGAGUUCAUCGCCGGUGGGUUCCAAUUCAGAGGGAAUGGAACCUUUUCAGUAUGCAGAUUAGAACUCUGGUGAUUCCACUUGCUGUAGUUUUGAGACAUCGUCCUUGCCGACUCAAUUAAGGUUCUCGGAUUUGGGGGUUUUUUCCGAAAAAAAAAAUUCAUUUAUGGCCUUCCAAAUCAACCAGAAGAUAAUGGCAAUCUCAUCUAGUGUGCUGUCCAAAUUGCUUCGGUCCAGGGGCAGAUAAGAAAGAGGUGCUCCACAGUUUCAGCCUCUUGAUCACAGAAGGGGCAAGCUGGACGAGAUGCAUAGCAAUACUGAUUGAGGAUCAAUGCAAGAUUCUGGCAUUCAAUAAGCUUACCAUCUAAGAAGAAGAUGGAAUCAUCAGCAAAGAGGAGGUGAGAUAGAACCGGACAAUACCUGUUUAAUUUUAUUCCAGAGAUUGUGCCAUCGUGCACUGCCUUUCUCAUCAAAACCGAGAGUGUGUUUGCUACCAAUAUAAACAAAUAGGGGGAUAUGGGGUCCCCUUGUCUUAUCCCUCGUGUUGGCUUGAAGUAGGGCAAUGGUUCCCCGUUCAGUUUUACACUCAAAGAGACAGAAGUUACACAUUGCAUUACCCUCUGUACCCACCAGUCACUGAAUCCCAUUUUCAACAUACUAGCUUCAAGGAAGUCCCACUCUACCCUAUCAUAGGCUUUUUUCAUAUCCAAUUUCAACACCGCCUGAAAUUUUCUUUUCCUUUUUCUGAUUCUCAUUUGAUGUAGUACUUCUUGAACAAUCAAAAUAUUGUCUUGGAUUUGUCCACCGCCCACAAAAGCGGUCUGUUCUGCUUCUAUUAUAACCGGCAGCCACUUUUUCAAUCUAUUUGCCAGGAUUUUCGAGAUAAUUUUGUAUGCAAAAAUGCAUAGGCUGAUUGGUCUGAACUGAUCUAAGCCCUCUGGAUUGG